AUAAAUUGGAAAUGUCAAUACGAAGGGGGCAAGUUUUAAGAAGGGGCAACGUCAAUUCAGGCUUCCUGCUUUUACGGCUCGUGUGAUCAAGUAAAUUGGAAAGACGCUUUUAUGGCAACAGGUACAGUCAAGUGGUUCAACGACUCCAAGGGUUUCGGAUUCAUUACCCCGGAUGACGGCGGUGAAGAUUUGUUCGCACACUUCUCGGCAAUCCAGAUGAAUGGUUUCAAGACUCUGAAAGAAGGUCAAAAAGUUCAGUUCGAAGUCACGCAGGGCCCUAAAGGCAAGCAAGCUUCCAACAUUCAGGCUCCCUGAUAAGUCCAUCAGAAUGACAACAGCAAAACCCCGCCCGCGCGGGGUUUUUUUUC
rnacentral:other from 1 species